rnacentral:piRNA from 1 species
UGAUGGCAAGGAGUGCCGGUCUGAG